rnacentral:rRNA from 1 species
GAGUUUGAUCAUGGCUCAGGACGAACGCGGGCGGCGUGCUUAAUACAUGCAAGUGGAACGCAUUGAUUUCACCGGAGCUUGCUCCACCGAAAUUAGUGAGUCGCGAACGGGUGAGUAACGCGUAGGUAACCUACCUCUUAGCGGGGGAUAACUAUUGGAAACGAUAGCUAAUACCGCAUAACAAUUGGAUACACAUGUACCCUAUUUAAAAGGAGCAACUGCUUCAUAAGAGAUGGACCUGCGUUGUAUUAGCUAGUUGGUAGGGUAAGGGCCUACCAAGGCAUCGAUACAUAGCCGACCUGAGAGGGUGAUCGGCCACACUGGGACUGAGACACGGCCCAGACUCCUACGGGAGGCAGCAGUAGGGAAUCUUCGGCAAUGGGGGGAACCCUGACCGAGCAACGCCGCGUGAGUGAAGAAGGUUUUCGGAUCGUAAAGCUCUGUUGUAAGAGAAGAACGUGUGAGAGAGUGGAAAGUCU